rnacentral:rRNA from 1 species
AACGCGAAAGUCCCCUUCGGGGGACAAGUAGAGUGGCGUCCGGGUGAGUAACACGUAGGUAAUCUACCUUCGGGUGGGGAAUAACGCAGGGAAACUUGCGCUAAUACCGCAUAAUGCAGCGGCACCACAUGGUGACAGUUGUUAAAGCGGGGGAUUUUCGAACCUCGCGCCUGAAGAGGAGCCUGCGGCAGAUUAGCUAGUUGGUAAGGCAAUGGCUUACCAAGGCGACGAUCUGUAACCGGCCUGAGAGGGCGGUCGGUCACACUGACACUGACAUACGGGUCAGACUCCUACGGGAGGCAGCAGUCGGGAAUUUUGGGCAAUGGGCGAAAGCCUGACCCAGCAACGCCGCGUGAAGGAUGAGAUCCCUCGGGAUGUAAACUUCGCAAGAAUGGGAAGAAUGAGUAGGGGCUAAUACUCCCUAUGAUGACGGUACCAUUUGUAAGCUCCGGCUAACUCCGUGCCAGCAGCCGCGGUAAUACGGGGGGAGCAAGCGUUGUUCGGAUUUACUGGGCGUAAAGGGCGCGUAGGCGGCCAGCGCAAGUCAGUUGUGAAAUCUCCGGGCUUAACUCGGAACGGUCAACUGAUACUGCGCGGCUAGAGUGCGGAAGGGGCAACUGGAGUUCUCGGUGUAGCGGUGAAAUGCGUAGAUAUCGAGAGGAACACCUGCGGCGAAGGCGGGUUGCUGGGCCGACACUGACGCUGAUGCGCGAAAGCCAGGGGAGCGAACGGGAUUAGAUACCCCGGUAGUCCUGGCCUUAAACGAUGGAUGCUUGGUGUCUGGA